AGUGAACGCUGGCGAUAGGCCUAACACAUGCAAGUCGAACGGCAGCACAGUAAGAGCUUGCUCUUACGGGUGGCGAGUGGCGGACGGGUGAGGAAUACAUCGGAAUCUACUUUUUCGUGGGGGAUAACGUAGGGAAACUUACGCUAAUACCGCAUACGACCUACGUGUGAAAGCAGGGGAUCUUCGGACCUUGCGCGAUUGAAUGAGCCGAUGUCGGAUUAGCUAGUUGGCGGGGUAAAGGCCCACCAAGGCGACGAUCCGUAGCUGGUCUGAGAGGAUGAUCAGCCACACUGGAACUGAGACACGGUCCAGACUCCUACGGGAGGCAGCAGUGGGGAAUAUUGGACAAUGGGCGCAAGCCUGAUCCAGCCAUACCGCGUGGGUGAAGAAGGCCUUCGGGUUGUAAAGCCCUUUUGUUGGGAAAGAAAAGCAGCAGGUUAAUACCCCGCUGUUCUGACGGUACCCAAAGAAUAAGCACCGGCUAACUUCGU
rnacentral:rRNA from 1 species